AGCAGCCGCGGUAAUUCCAGCUCCAAUAGCGUAUAUUAAAGUUGUUGCAGUUAAAAAGCUCGUAGUUGAAUUUCGGGAUCGGUUGGUCGGUCGUGCCUCGGUACGUACUGGUCAAAUUGAUUCCUACCUUCUGACGAACCACGAUGUCAUUAAUUUGGUGUCGUGGGAAAUCAGGACUGUUACUUUGAAAAAAUUAGAGUGUUUAAAGCAGGCUCGCGCUUGAAUACAUUAGCAUGGAAUAAUGAAAUAGGACGUUUGAUUCUAUUUUGUUGGUUUCUAGGAUCGACGUAAUGAUUAAUAGGGAUAGUUGGGGGCAUUAGUAUUCAAUUGUCAGAGGUGAAAUUCUUGGAUUUAUUGAAGACUAACUACUGCGAAAGCAUUUGCCAAGGAUGUUUUCAUUAAUCAAGAACGAAAGUUAGGGGAUCGAAGACGAUCAGAUACCGUCGUAGUCUUAACCAUAAACUAUGCCGACUAGGGAUCGGAUGAUGUUAAUUUUUUAAUGACUCAUUCGGCGCCUUAC
rnacentral:misc_RNA from 1 species